rnacentral:rRNA from 1 species
GACGAACGCUGGCGGCGUGCCUAAUACAUGCAAGUCGAGCGGGGAUUAUGCUUGAUCGCUUCGGUGAGACGGCAUAUAUCCUAGCGGCGGACGGGUGAGUAACGCGUGGGUAAUCUACCUCGUAGUUCGGGAUAACAGGCCGAAAGGCUUGCUAAUACCGGAUGAGUUCAUGCUUAUGCAUAUAGGCAUGAAGAAAGGGCUAGCCCGCUAUGAGAUGAGCCCGCGUCCCAUUAGCUUGUUGGUGGGGUAACGGCCUACCAAGGCAACGAUGGGUAGCCGGCCUGAGAGGGUGUACGGCCACACUGGGACUGAGACACGGCCCAGACUCCUACGGGGGGCAGCAGUAGGGAAUUUUCGGCAAUGGGCGAAAGCCUGACCGAGCGACGCCGCGUGAGGGACGAAGGCCUUCGGGUUGUAAACCUCUGUCUGGGGGGAUGAGAACGGACGGUACCCCCGGAGGAAGCCCCGGCUAACUACGUG